CAGCUGUAAACGAUGCGCGUUAGGUGUAUCGGUGACCACGAGUCACCGAGGUGCCGAAGAGAAAUCGUGAAACGUGCCGCCUGGGAAGUACGGUCGCAAGGCUGAAACUUAAAGGAAUUGGCGGGGGAGCACCACAACAGGUGGAGCCUGCGGUUUAAUCGGACUCAACGCCGGGAAGCUCACCGGAUAAGACAGCUGAAUGAUAGCCGGGUUGAAGACUCUGCUUGACUAGCUGAGAGGUGGUGCAUGGCGUGUGACUGU
rnacentral:rRNA from 1 species